UCUCUUGAGGGGAAAAAAGGAUCAAAGUUGGCAUGAUGCCCAGGGGUGAGCUUGAGUCUCUGGGGGCUUUUUCAUGAGGCCAUCCUCUCAUGUUGAAGGUAGAGAAUCAGAGACAGUGAUUCCCUGGUGUGGUGGAGAAAACUCCAUAGCAGUGUGGAUGGAAACCAGGUGUCUUCAUUCCUGGGCCAGCUGAGUCCUGUGUUGCUAUGGAGAAGAACAAAGCCACUUGGCUCCCACCUGUGAUUCUAGGAAAUAUAGGCUGCUUCCUGGUGAUUUCCUAGGUAAGAAGAACCAGCUGUUCCUACCUGUUUGCAGCCGGGCUUGAUGUUGCCUUGGCAACAGCUGUCAACAGGAAUAUUGCCUCCCCCAGUUCAGUGUUUAGGGGAAGCAUUCUCUCUCUGACUCCACAAUUAAAGGACUGCAAGUUCUACCUACACCAGCUACCUCUGGGCAGGAAGCUCACUUGCUGUGGUCACCCAACCUGUGUUACAAUGCUUCCUGCCAGCCUCUCUCUGCCUCCAGGAAACUGCCCACCAUCAAACAGCCUCCAGGUUCCAGAUGCUACCAUGAUGCCAAUCGGACUUCCCUGGACAGAUGAUCCCACCAAUGUGUCCUGGAGCUCCACUUCCUCAGAGACCUGCCUCACUAGGGAAAGAGAGAGACAGUCUGGGAGUAUGGAUCGACCUGUCAGUGCCCAUGUUCAGUGGGGAAGCAAUUACAGAAGCCAGACAGACCUUCCACCUUCUGCACCCCAUAAUUACCCUGGGUCCAUACUCCUAUGUCCUUAAAGAAUAGAAAAGUUAUCAAGGGAAGGGAGGGGAUAUUGAGCUCUGGUGGUGGGAAAUGUACCCCU